rnacentral:hammerhead_ribozyme from 1 species
AUCCGAAUGACGAGUCCCAAAUAAGACGAAAUGCACAUCCUGGCU